rnacentral:snRNA from 1 species
ACUCAUACCUUGCAGGGAAAAUACUGUGGUCAUGAAAAUGGAUUUUUCAGGGUAAGGCUCAUCCAUUGCACUUUAGGUGUGCUGCUCCCUAUGAUUUUCCCAAGUGUGAGGAACUCAACUGCAUAAUUUAUGUUAAUGGGGGGUUGCAUUUGUGAACUCCCUGG